rnacentral:rRNA from 1 species
UACGGAGGGGGCGAGCGUUAUUCGGAAUUAUUGGGCGUAAAGGGCGCGUAGGCGGCUGUACAAGUCAAAGGUGAAAUCCCUCGGCUCAACUGAGGAACUGCCUUUGAACCUGUACGGCUUGAGGCCGGGAGGGGGUAGCGGAAUUCCCAAUGUAGCGGUGAAAUGCGUAGAUAUUGGGAGGAACACCAGUGGCGAAGGCGGCUACCUGGACCGGUUCUGACGCUGAGGCGCGAAAGCGUGGGUAGCAAACAGG